rnacentral:rRNA from 1 species
AACGAACGCUGGCGGCAUGCCUAACACAUGCAAGUCGAACGAGACCUUCGGGUCUAGUGGCGCACGGGUGCGUAACGCGUGGGAACCUGCCCUUAGGUUCGGAAUAACUCCCCGAAAGGGGUGCUAAUACCGGAUAAUGUCUUCGGACCAAAGAUUUAUCGCUUUUGGAUGGGCCCGCGUUGGAUUAGCUAGUUGGUAGGGUAAAAGCCUACCAAGGCGACGAUCCAUAGCUGGUCUGAGAGGAUGAUCAGCCACACUGGGACUGAGACACGGCCCAGACUCCUACGGGAGGCAGCAGUGGGGAAUAUUGUACAAUGGGCGAAAGCCUGAUCCAGCAAUGCCGCGUGAGUGAUGAAGGCCUUAGGGUUGUAAAGCUCUUUUACCCGGGAUGAUAAUGACAGUACCGGGAGAAUAAGCUCCGGCUAACUCCGUG